GCAUUCAGUUGCCAUCGGGUAAUGCCGGGCACUCUGGAAGGACUGCCAUCGACAAGAUGGAGGAAGUGGGGAUGACGUCAAGUCAUCAUGGCCCUUAUGUCCAGGGCGACACACGUGCUACAAUGGCCGGCACAACGGGAAGCGAGUUCGCGAGGACGAGCGGAUCCCUCAAAAGCCGGUCGCAGUUCGGAUUGAAGUCUGCAACUCGACUUCAUGAAGCUGGAAUCGCUAGUAAUCGUGGAUCAGCCAAGCCGCGGUGAAUACGUUCCCGGGCCUU
rnacentral:rRNA from 1 species